rnacentral:rRNA from 1 species
GGUUAAACCAGCGCACGGUGGAUGCCACAGCAGUCAGAGGCGAUGAAGGACGUGCUAAUCUGCGAUAAGCGUCGGUAAGGUGAUAUGAACCGUUAUAACCGGCGAUUUCCGAAUGAGCAGUGUGAUUCGUCACUAUGUUUAACUGAAUCCAUGGGAUUAAUGAGGCGAACCGGGAGAUUUGAAACAUCUAAGUACCCCGAGAAAGAAAUCAACCGAGGUCCCCCAGUAGCCGCUGUUGAGCAGGAAGACAGCCGACCUGAAUCCGAAGGUGUUGUUGUGUUGAUAGAGUGAUCUGGAAGGCGCGAUACAGGUGACAGCCCCGUACACAAAAAUGCGAUACUGUGGGCUCGAUAAUUUAGGGCAAGGACGUGUGGUAUCCUGUCUGAAUAUGGGGGGGACCAUCCUCCAAAGGCUCAUCAUACAGACGAUGAUUGAUAAAUACAUUUUGUGGCAAAAAACCAGCGAGGGCUGCAUCCCAAUAAUACGCUGGCAGUGGAGCUCUGCCGGGCGGCUACACAUUAUACUCUGCUGAGGUCGCUGCUUCACCCGCAUAAGGAUUCGCUGGGCUAAGAGGCAAAGCCAGUCUUUCGACGGGGCAGGAUAACAGACCAAAGCUGAUGAUCCAACCUGACGGAUUCGAGGUAUUCAAUGUGCAACGGUUGACUGAUAAUCUUUGGUGCACAUUCGUGAUGCGACUUGUGGCUGAAAUAAGGCUGAUAAGACCGGACAAUGGUUGCUCCAACCUAUUUAGGUAGCGCCUCGUGAAUUCAUCUCCAGGGGUAGAGCACUGUUUCGGCAAGGUCAUCGACUUACCAACCCGAUGCAAACUGCGAAUACCAGAAUGUUAUCACGGGAGACACACGGCGGGUGCUAACGUCAAAUGCGUGAAGAGGAAACAACCGAUACCAGCUAAGGUCCCAAAGUCGCCGAUUCAAAAAUCGAAACAGUCAUGGGAAGGCCCAGACAGCCAGGAUGUUGGCUUAAAGCAGCCAUCAUUUAAAGAAAGCGUAAUAGCUCACUGGUCGAGUCGGCCUGCACGGAAGAUGUAACGGGGCUAAACCAUGCACCGAAGCUGCGGCAACGACACUAUGUGUUGUUCGGUGAGAGCGUUCUGUAAGCUGAAGUUGUGCUGAGGUAUGCUGGGUAUCAGAAGUGCGAGAUAUGACACCAAUAACGAUAAAGCGGGUGUGCUCGCCCGGGCGCAGGGGUUCAUCCAACAUUAAUCAAGGGCGGAUGGUCGACCCCUAAGGCGGGGCCGAAGGCGUAGUCGAUGGGAAACAGGUUAAUAUUCUGUACUGGUGUUACUGCGAAGGGGGGACGGAGAAGGCUAUGUUGGCCGGGCGACGGUUGUCCCGGUUUAAGCGUGUAGGCUGGUUUUCGAACCGUCCGGAAAAUCAAGGCUGAGGCGUGAUGACGAGGCACUACGGUGCUGAAGCAACAAAAUACCUGCACUUCGGAAAAACCUCUAAGCAUCAGGUAACAUCAAAUCGGCCACAAACAAGCACGGUGGUGGUAGAGAAUACCAAAGGCGCUUGAAGAACUCGGGUGAAGGAACUAGGCAAAAUGAUGCCGUAACACUUCGGAAGAAGGCUUUGCUGAUACAUCGGUGAAGUCCUUGCGGAUGGAGCUGAAAUCAGUCAGAAGACAAAGCUGGCUGCAACUGUUUAUUAAAAACACAGCACUGUGCAAACACGAAAGUGGACGUAUACGGUGUGACGCCUGCCCGGUGCCGGAAGGUUAAUUGAUGGGAUUGGCGUGCUGCGAAGCUCUUGAUCAAGCCCGGUAAACGGCGGCCGUAACUAUAACGGUCUAAGGUGGCGAAAUUCCUUGUCGGGCUAAGUUCAUGCACGGGUAUGGCGUAAUGAUGGCCAGGCUAUCUCCACCCAGACUCAGUGAAAUUGAACUCGCUGUGAAGAUGCAGUGUACCCGCGGCAAGACGGAAAGACCCCCGUGAACCUUUACUAUAGCUUGGCGCUGAACAUGACCUUGAUGCAGGAUAGAUUGCAGGAGGCUUUGAAGUGUGGACGCCAGUCUGCAUGGAGCCGACCUUGAAAUCUUCACCCUUUAAUGUUUGAUGUUCUAACGUUGGCCCCUGAUCGGGGUUGCGGACAGUGUCUGGUGGGUAGUUUGACUGGGGCGGUCUCCUCCUAAAAAGGUAACGGAGGAGCACGAGGUUUAGUAAUCGGUGGACAUCAGGAGGUUAGUGCAAUGGCAUAAGCCAGCUUGACUGCAGGCAAUGACGAAAGCGACGGUAUAACAGUCAUAAUGAUCGGUGGUUCUGAAUGGAAGGGCCAUCGCUCAACGGACAAAGACCUCAGGGAUAACAGGCUGAUACCGCCCCAGAGUUCAUAUCAGCAGCAGGUGUUUGGCACCUCGAUAUCGACUCAUGCAUCACGGGGGCUGAAGUAAGUUAAAGAUGGCUGCUGCUGUUUUAAAAUGGUGCCGCUGACUUCCUGGGUUUGAAACGUCGUGAGACAGUUCAAGUCCCCUAUCACCGUGUUGCUGGAGGAAGAUUGGGGGGCUCACUCUAGUGGGGGAUGGUGGGCACAUGCUAGUGUUCGGGUUGUCAUGCCAAUGGCCACUGCAGUGUAGUAAAUGCGGAAGAGAUAAGUGCUGAAAGCAUCUAAGCACGAAACUUGCCCCGAGAUGAGUUCUCCCUGACUCCUUGAGAGUCUGAAGGAACAAUUGAAGACGACGACGUUGAUAGGCCGGGUGUGUAAGCGCAGCGAUGCGUUGGGCAACAAUUGCCCAAUGAACCGUGAGGAAACCCA